rnacentral:rRNA from 1 species
AUUGAACGCUGGCGGCAGGCCUAACACAUGCAAGUCGAGCGGUAACAGGACUAGCUUGCUAGUUGCUGACAAGCGGCGGACGGGUGCGUAACACGUAGGAAUCUACCCAGUAGCGGGGGAUAGCCCGGAGAAAUCCGGAUUAAUACCGCAUACGCCCUACGGGGGAAAGCAGGGGAUCUUCGGACCUUGCACUAUUGGAUGAGCCUGCGUCGGAUUAGCUUGUUGGUGAGGUAAAGGCUCACCAAGGCGACGAUCCGUAGCUGGUCUGAGAGGAUGAUCAGCCACACUGGGACUGAGACACGGCCCAGACUCCUACGGGAGGCAGCAGUGGGGAAUAUUGCACAAUGGGCGAAAGCCUGAUGCAGCCAUGCCGCGUGUGUGAAGAAGGCUCUAGGGUUGUAAAGCACUUUCAGCGAGGAGGAAAGGUUGAUGAUUAAUACUCAUUAGCUGUGACGUUACUCGCAGAAGAAGCACCGGCUAACUCCGUGCCAGCAGCCGUGGUAAUACGGAGGGUGCAAGCGUUAAUCGGAAUUACUGGGCGUAAAGCGUGCGUAGGCGGCUUGCUAAGUU